UUCUUCAAUGCUCUCAAACCCUACACCCACAUCUUCUCCUUCACGAUUCUUCCUUCUGCUUCAAGCCAAACCUUCAAACCCUAAUCCACCAUGAACACACCAAAACACACCUGCUUAAAACUCCAAAUCCCUCAACAUCCCCAACCAAUCUUCAUCAAAGGCACCUGGUUUUCUUCUCACUUCAGCCUCCUCCUUCUCCUUCGUGUCCGAUGAAGUUUAAUAUAUGAAAAUCUGACAUCUGGAUGCUACAAGAAGCUCGGAAUCGAUGGGGACUAAAAGCUCUCUGAUUAGGCAUAACAAGCCAGGGAUUGCAGCAUUUCGUCUUGCAAAUGGAUUUUGUGAAAUGGCUGAAAGUGUGGUGUUCUUCAAUAGAAUACAGUCCAUUUCUCAUGGCUUGCUAUGAUCCCGACACUGAUGAAUAUCAAAGUGUCUGCCGUGUAAUGUCCAGCUUUUCUAAUGGCUUAUGUAUAGAGAUGAGAAAUGGUUAAAUCUCUUGAUGUUGAAGAUGGUUAUCUCCCGUCAACACGAUCAGAUUCUUGGUUAAAGGUGAUGUGAAAUUAUGCAGAAGGUUUAAAUGAUUUCUUGGGCUUGGUUCUUAUUGGUGCUUGGUACGGGAAUGGAAGGAAGGCUGAUGGUACAAUUCAUUUCUCAUGGCUUGCUAUGAUCCCGACACAGAUGAAUAUCAAAGUGUCUGUCUUGUAAUGUCCGGCUUCUCUAAUGCCUUCUAUAUAGAGAUGAAAGAGUUCUUCAUAGAUGACAAGAUUCUAGGUAAAUUUUUUCUUAAGCAACCAUUUCAAACUUCUGUAGAGAUUUUGUACAUCAAGUUCUUCUCUCUUUUGUACAGCAAAUCCCCACCGAUUCACUAAGCAGGUGGAUUUGGUUGGAGGUUAUUAUGAUGCCGGAGAUCAUGUAAAGUUCGGUUUACCGAUGGCGUUUACGGUAACGAUGCUGUCGUGGUGUGUUAUUGAGCAUGAUGAAUAUAUUGCCGAUGCCGGAGAGUUGCAGCAUGCAUGCGAUGGAGGCGAUAAAAUGGGGGACUGGUUACUUUAUUAAAGCUUAUACCAGUCCCAAUGUGUUAUGGGCAGAGGUUCCUGUUAUUGUUAUUCGAUGGCGGAGAGGUGAAUUGAUCGGGUGUGGAGCAUUUGUUUAGGUGUAUAUGGGGAUGAAUAUCAAUUCUGGAGAGCUUCUUGCUGUUAAAAAGGUUUCAAUUGUUGCAAAUAGUGCUUCGAAAGAAAAGACUCAGAUUCUCUUUCGUUGCUAAUCAUCCACCGCUACAAUCCUUUCGCUUUGAAUCCGGAUCUGAUUAAUCUCAUUCUGGUAAGUUUUUGAAGUUCGUGUUUCAUUCAUAGAUCUGUAGUCCCAGAUUAGGGCUUAAAACUAACCUUGCUGGUUGAAUCCGGUUUUGAUUUAUCGCGUUUAUUUACAUGUUGAAUUUCAUGGUCUAAAAUGAACUGUAACCCUAAUUCCUAUUUGGUUUAUUUGAUUUGAAUCCGGAUUUGGUUGAUUUGAUUUGAAACCGGAUUUGAAACCGGACUUCUAGGGUCUGCGAUUUACAUUUGGUUGUUAUGGGUAUCUAUGAAGAAGGUUUUUGGCUAAGAUAAGUAAAAAAAAUUUUGAUUGAACUACGUUAUGUGACUGAGAUAAGUAAUUAGGUUAUUUGAUUGGCAGAGGUUUUGUGUUCAUGAUUUUGAAUGGACGUUUUUCUUGCCAUCUGCUCAUUGUUUCAUGUUUUAUUGUCAAAGGUAUUGUUUCAUUGGUAGAUCUGUGUGUAUAAUAGUUAAGUCUAACACUUUGGUAUGCAAAUACACAUAAAGAAAGAUGUUGUUGAUUUUUGUAAACAAAGUUUGGUUGUUGCUUAUCAUGAAAGACAAGUGAUCUUACAAGAGUGUAUCGGCUAAAUAUGCAUCAUCGUAACACUCAUUGAAGCCGGGUUACAUACACAUGAUUUUUGAUGUAUGAUGUUGGACAGAUAUGGCAUUAUUAACAGGGAUGAGAAUGCUUAUGGUUGAAAGAUGCCCGUACUUUGAGACCGAGUAUGUGCAAUCCUCAAGUUUUGUAUAUGUGUGGAUAACUAUUUCAUGUGUUCUUAGGGUUCAGGAAUUUUCUAUCUUCAAGAAUUUAUGGGUCAUCAUUAUUGAAUAACUUAUAUAUCUGAGAUAAAUGUCAAAGAGCUUGGAGAACUUAUUAAAUUAACGAAUACCAAAGAACUGUAGUUGCAUUUUCUUGAUCUUGAACAGCAUCCACUAAAGGUUAAAACUUGAAUAUCUUCCCAUCAAUUAACAUAUUUCUGUAGUCAUAUUUCUUUGUCUUUUUUUUUUUGAUAUAAUCCUUUUUUUUUAAUUUUGCAGAUAGGGUAAUUGAGGUAAAAAAGAAAUCCAUACGUGCACAAUUUAUACGGUUUAGAUGAUACAUUCAAGUUAAUAAGAAUUAACCCUCUAUUGAAUUAGCAACCAGUGACAGACUUUUGCUGGAAACAUGGAUGUGUCGGUGAUGUUGUCGAGGAGUGUCAUGAAAUGCUUAGUGAUAGCAUUUUCUUAUACUCCUCGGCAAUGUCACCGACCCCUCAUAAAAAUUCCAUCAAAAAUCUCUCACUGGUUGCUUCUUCAACAGAGGGUUUCUUUUUGUUACGUGAACCUGUAUCAUCUAAAGUUGGUUCGAUGUUGCAUACCAUCGAUGGCGAGUGCGCUGUUUUCUUCUUGCAACCUGUUUUGCAGCCAUGACAACCACAAUACGUAUUCUGAACCCUGUCAUAAUGUGUCAUAAGGUUUUCAUAAUAUUGAUGUUGGCGUCCCGAGUUUGAUUUUCCGGCUGUGAUGACUUUGGUAAAAAAAAAACUUGGUUCGAUGUUGCAUAGCAUGGAUGGCGAGUGCGCUGUUUUCAUCUUGCAACCUGUUAUGCAACCAUGAGAACCACAAUACCUAUUCUGAGCCCUUUGUUAUUUGGUCAUAAGGUAUUUUUAAUAAUGAUGUUGGCAACGACACCCUGCCUACUGGCAUUUUCGGUAUAUGAAACUGUAACUUAUAUUUGAUCGUUCCGUCCCGAGUUCGGUUUGCGGAUGUGAUGGCUUUUGUAAAAAAAAAAAAAAACCUGUGUUCAAAGUUGGAUAUCAAGGGAAGGCUAUUGCCCUGUUUGCUACCAUUAAUGUAUUACGCUGGCAUUAUAAUUCAUUUUUAUUUAUAUUUAUUGAUCCGACGCAAAUUAUUAUGUUAAUAUUUUCAGUUUAAACAUUUAUUUGGCCUAAUUAUUUUACCAUUUUUUCAUUUGCAGUGCAUUUGUGAUUGAGUUGAAUUCUAUAUUCGCUUGUUGCGUCCCGAGUUUUAUUUCCGGCUGUGAUGACUUUUGUAAAAAAACAACUUGGUUAAAUGUUGCAUAGCAUGGAUGGCGAGUGCGCUGUUUUCUUCUUGCAACCUGUUAUACAGCCAUGAGAACCACAAUACCUAUUCUGAGCCCUAUGUUAAUUUGUCAUAAUGUAUUCAUAAUAUUGAUGUUGGCGUCCCGCGUUUGAUUUUCCGGCUGUGAUGACUUUGGUAAAAAAAAACUUGGUUUGAUGUUGCAUAGCAUGGAUGGCGAGCGCUCUGUUUUCUUCUUGCAACCUGUUAAGCAGCAUUGAGAACCACAAUACCUAUUCUGAGCCCUUUGUGAUGUGGUCAUAAGGUAAUUUUAAUUAUCAUGUUGGCAAAGACACCUUACCAUACACGCAUUUUCGGUAUAUGGAACUGUAGCUUAUAUUUGAUCGUUCCGUCCUGAAUUCGUUUUCCGGAUGUGAUGAAUUUUGUAAAAAAAAUUUGUUCGAGGUUGGAUACCAAGGAAGGCUACUGCCCUGUUUGCUACC